rnacentral:rRNA from 1 species
CGGGUGAGUAACACGUGGAUAACCUACCUAUAAGACUGGGAUAACUUCGGGAAACCGUAGCUAAUACCGGAUAAUAUUUUGAACCGCAUGGUUCAAAAGUGAAAGACGGUCUUGCUGUCACUUAUAGAUGGAUCCGCGCUGCAUUAGCUAGUUGGUAAGGUAACGGCUUACCAAGGCAACGAUGCAUAGCCGACCUGAGAGGGCGAUCGGCCACACUGGAACUGAGACACGGUCCAG